GGUGGGUUGGCCGAGAGGCGAGGCAGCGGCCUGCAAAGCCGUAUACACGGGUUCGAAUCCCGUACCCACCUCGA
rnacentral:tRNA from 1 species